AGAGGGGAGUGGGUUGGGGUUUUGCAUAGAGACAGUGUGUGGCUAAACUGCAGCUGCUAUAAAAGUGCCAGUGUCCCUGUGCCAUAUUAAUGAUCUGUAUCUGUCACACAGUGCUACAUACACACAUGCCUUAUCCCACUUAUCUACUGCUGGGGCUGCUGCUGGGGGGCCCCCUGCUCUUUAGCCACGGUUCCUAUGGGCAGAUUGUGCUGACUCAGUCCCCAGAUUAUGUCUCUGUGUCACCGGGAGAAACUGUCACCUUCACAUGUAAAGCCAGUAGCCGUGUUGGCAACUUGUUAGCCUGGUACCAACAGAAAUCAGGGCAGGCACCAAAGCUGCUGAUCUAUAAUGCAAACACCCGACACACAGGGACCCCAGAGCGGAUCAGCGGCAGCCGCUCUGGAACUGAUUUCACCCUUACAAUCAGCAGAAUGGAAGCAGAAGAUGCAGGAGAUUAUUACUGCCAGCAGUAUUGGGAUCCCCCACUCACACAGUGAUACAGAGCUGAACAAAAACCUUCCUCUUUCAUAACUUUCAUGUCUUUGUUUUUGCUGAGAACAGACCUGUAUAACUGCAUCAAUGGGAAGAAUAGUGA